AGUAACGGCGAGUGAAGCGGUAACAGCUCAAAUUUGAAAUCUGGCUCCUGCGGAGUCCGAGUUGUAAUUUGUAGAAGAUGCUUUGGGAGGGAGGCUCGGCCUAAGUUCCUUGGAACAGGACAUCAGAGAGGGUGAGAAUCCCGUAUGUGGCCGUGGCCUCCGCCCGUGUAAAGCUCUUUCGACGAGUCGAGUUGUUUGGGAAUGCAGCUCAAAAUGGGUGGUAAAUUUCAUCUAAAGCUAAAUAUUGGCCAGAGACCGAUAGCGCACAAGUAGAGUGAUCGAAAGAUGAAAAGCACUUUGGAAAGAGAGUUAAACAGUACGUGAAAUUGUUGAAAGGGAAGCGCUUGCACCCAGACUUGGGCGUCGUCGAUCAUCCGAGGUUCUCCUCGGUGCACUCGGCGAGGCACAGGCCAGCAUCGGUUUGGAUGGUUGGAGAAAGGCUCUAGGAACGUAGCUCUCUUCGGGGAGUGUUAUAGGCUAGGGCGUAAUGCAGCCCAUCGGGACCGAGGACCGCGCCUUCGGGCUAGGAUGCUGGCGUAAUGGUUGCAAGCGACCCGUCUUGAAACACGGACCAAGGAGUCUAACAUCUAUGCGAGUGUUUGGGCGUUAAACCCAUACGCGGAAUGAAAGUGAACGUAGGUGAGAACCCAUCUGGGUGCAUCAUCGACCGAUCCUGAUGUCUUCGGAUGGAUUUGAGU
rnacentral:rRNA from 1 species